ACAAGAAGAAAAAAAAAUUAGUGCACUUGCGCCAAUCAAUACUGUGCAUUUCGAAGGGAAAGCAUAGUAAGAGCUCCCAAAAGAGAUUAAGUGUUUAGAGGAUUUUAUUGCGGAAAUACGGAUUCUGUGGCGAAGAGAUGAUCCCCUAAUGAGUUUGCCUUCGCCUGUGUUAUAAAUUAUAAAAACUUAAGGAACGUCGACCAGUUCGUGUCAAUAAGGUGAGGAUUAAGUCUGCUCAUUGCCAGCCUGCACAAUAACGCCAAUUGGGAAUGGAAUGCUUCCUUCGUCCACUUGUAAGAAAAAUUCAAAAGAAAUAAAAAGAUAAACUUAAUAUGAAUACAUACUUAAGUAGCCAAUUGGUAUAACGUGGAUACGCCUGCAUAUGCAAACAUUAACUACAUGCAUAGUCCAAGUUUGCAUCGCACAGUACAUAAGAAAUUUAUCUACCUACCUACCUAUCUAGCCACCUAAACCUAUGUAAAUACUAUAUUAAUUGUAGCUUUGUAAUAAAAAAACGAGAGACGAUUCGUAUGAGUGACAAUGCAAACUUGUACUAAGCAUACGCCUUUUUGGUGGUGUAAUAUAAGUUCUUAUACUUCUUAUGCAAAAUUUUUGAUAACAACUAACGAAAUUGUGGAUUUAAAAAUACUGAGUUGAAUCUAUAAAAGCGGAAGGUAGAAUACGUUCUGCUAUUCGAAUUAUUCGAAAAGAGCAACUACCGAAAAACUUAGAUAUCAUUGAAGGCUAUUUCUUUAAACUGUUAAUUAGUGUAAAUAAUCUCGUCACGGAACUUCUUUGAUUAAAUAUUAUGCAUUAAUUCAAUCCGAAAAUUUAUACAUAUAUAUAAAUACAAUAAAAUUUCUGAGAGAAAUCUUGGUAAAAGCGUCACUCAAUGUCAAAAUUAAGGUCAGUGUAAUAAUUUUAUGAGGUUAUUGGUUAAACAUUAAAGAAGCCUUCGCUAAAAUGACAUUGAAUGACAUUACGAGAUUUUAAUUUCCAUGCUGUAUAUGUAUAUCUAAUAAAUGUUAAAUGUACGUAGUUAGUAAGGAAUGUUUGUUGUCGAAUGAAUUCACCGUUUUCUUUACAAAUUACGCUUGAUUUUGAUGUCCCGCAAUGUUUUUUUUUUUCCUAUAAAAUAUAAGCAACGUUUUGACAAACAAAUUUUGUUUGUUGUGUUUAUAUCUUUGUAUUAAACAUUUAUUUAAGUCGUUUUAUUGUAUUUUAAUAUGUUUUAUGAAAUUAUAUAGUGACGCCAAUGAUUGUGAUAUUCUAAGAAUUUUUGUUUUUUUCUGUCGCCUCCUCUUCCUCUGUCUAACUAUCUAUUAAAACCUUCCCACGACAUAUGACAUAGAAUUUAAAUUAAUUAAUUAUUUUAAUUUUAAAUUUAUUAAUUAAUUCUGGUAACAAAUUAAAAAUAUGGUUGAUAUU